rnacentral:rRNA from 1 species
UGGGCCCUACGGGGCGCAGCAGUGGGGAAUAUUGCGCAAUGGGCGAAAGCCUGAACCAGCCAAGUCGCGUGAGGGAAUAAGGCCCUACGGGUCGUAAACCUCUUUUGCCGGGGAGCAAGGGCGGGGACGUGUCCCGGCCCGGAGAGUACCCGGAGAAAAAGCAUCGGCUAACUCCGUGCCAGCAGCCGCGGUAAUACGGAGGAUGCGAGCGUUAUCCGGAUUUAUUGGGUUUAAAGGGUGCGUAGGCGGGCUUUU